rnacentral:rRNA from 1 species
ACGCACGCUGGCGGCAUGCCUCACACAUGCCAGUCGCACGAGACCUUCGGGUCUAGUGGCGCACGGGUGCGUAACGCAUGGGAACCUGCCCUUAGGUUCGGAAUAACUCCCCGAAAGGGGUGCUAAUACCGGAUAAUGUCUUCGGACCAAAGAUUUAUCGCCUUUGGAUGGGCCCGCGUUGGAUUAGCUAGUUGGUAGGGUAAAAGCCUACCAAGGCGACGAUCCAUAGCUGGUCUGAGAGGAUGAUCAGCCACACUGGGACUGAGACACGGCCCAGACUCCUACGGGAGGCAGCAGUGGGGAAUAUUGGACAAUGGGCGAAAGCCUGAUCCAGCAAUGCCGCGUGAGUGAUGAAGGCCUUAGGGUUGUAAAGCUCUUUUACCCGGGAUGAUAAUGACAGUACCGGGAGAAUAAGCUCCGGCUAACUCCGUG